GACGAACGCUGGCGGCGUGCUUAACACAUGCAAGUCGAACGGAAAGGCCCCUUUGGGGGUCCUCGAGUGGCGAACGGGUGAGUAACACGUGAGUAACCUGCCCUUGACUUCGGGAUAACUUCAGGAAACUGGGGCUAAUACCGGAUAGGAAUCCUUGCUGCAUGGUGGGGGUUGGAAAGCUUCGGCGGUUUUGGAUGGACUCGCGGCUUAUCAUCUUGUUGGUGGGGUAGUGGCUUACCAAGGCUUUGACGGGUAGCCGGCCUGAGAGGGCGACCGGCCACAUUGGGACUGAGAUACGGCCCAGACUCCUACGGGAGGCAGCAGUGGGGAAUAUUGCACAAUGGGCGGAAGCCUGAUGCAGCAACGCCGCGUGCGGGAUGACGGCCUUCGGGUUGUAAACCGCUUUCAGCAGGGGCGAAGCUUGUGGUGACGGUACCUGCAGAAGAAGCACCGGCUAACUACGUG
rnacentral:rRNA from 1 species